GGGCAUCCAAAGAACAGAAUGAGCUGGCCGGGCCCUGAGCCACCCCAGACUCCUCCCACUUCCCUGCCACUAACCAGUUCCAGCUGUGCACAGUCCCUGCCAUCACUUCCAUUCUGGCUUCUAGGAACCCAUGACUAAUUGAAGGAGUGUGUGUAUGUGUGUGGGAGUCUUCUUAAAAAUAGGGGUUUCCAGGGUAACUGCUUGGAAAACUCAAUCCCAUUAAUCCAGAGAAAGUUCCCUCUCCUAACUCCCUCAGGGCUCUUAGGGGAAAACAGGCCAGAGACUAACACAUUUCUCUAUAUCAGCAACAAUGUUGGGGUGGGCCCUAACUUGUUUACAAUUAAAGUUUGUCUCACUUUCAGUUUCCCGUUUCAGGCCCCAGACUUAACCUCUAUAUACCAGGAUGUCCAGUCUUCCAGCCCAGCCAUGGUCUCUGGAGAUGACGCUGGACAGCAGAGCUGGAGCUGAACUUGGAACCACAGAUAGUUUCAAGCUCCCAGAAAUCUCAGGGCAGAAGCACAGAUGGCCUCUGGAGCUCCUGCCUGGUGGGACCAUGAGCUGGCAGCUGCUGUGGCUUGGCUUCCUCCUCCCCAUGGUGGUCUCAGCCCGGGCUCUAGGGCCUGCAGAGAAGG